rnacentral:rRNA from 1 species
AGCAGCCGCGGUAAUUCCAGCUCCAAUAGCGUAUAUUAAAGUUGUUGCAGUUAAAAAGCUCGUAGUUGAAUUUCGGGAUUCUACCGUCGGUCGGGCUAACAAGUCUGUACUGGUGUGUAGAAUUUCUACCUUCUGGGGAACCAUCAUGUUAUUAAUUUAGCGUGGUGGGGAACCAGGACCUUUACCUUGAAAAAUUAGAGUAGUUCAAAGCAGGCUUACGUCUGAAUACAUUAGCAUGGAAUAAUAGAAUAGGACGGUGGUCCUGUUUUGUUGGUUUCUGAAUCACCGUAAUGAUUAAUAGGGAUAGUUGGGGGCAUUAGUAUUCAAUUGUCAGAGGUGAAAUUCUUGGAUUUAUUGAAGGCUAACUUCUGCGAAAGCAUUUGCCAAGGAUGUUUUCAUUAAUCAAGAACGAAAGUUAGGGGAUCGAAGACGAUCAGAUACCGUCGUAGUCUUAACCAUAAACUAUGCCGACUAGGGAUCGGACGAUGUUAACCUUUAUUGACUCGUUCGGCGCCUUACG